rnacentral:rRNA from 1 species
UACGGAGGGUGCAAGCGUUAUCCGGAUUCACUGGGUUUAAAGGGUGCGUAGGUGGGCAGGUAAGUCCGCGGUGAAAUCUCACGGCUCAACCGUGAAACUGCCGUUGAUACUGCUUUUCUUGAGUUCGGGAGAGGUUGAUGGAAUUCCAGGUGUAGCGGUGAAAUGCGUAGAUAUCUGGAAGAACACCAGUGGCGAAGGCGGUCAACUGGCCCGUAACUGACGCUGAGGCACGAAAGCGUGGGGAGCGAGCAGG